rnacentral:snRNA from 1 species
ACUGCUUAGCUCUGCAGCACGUAAAAUUGGGAUGAUACUGAGAGCAUUAGCAUGGCCCUUGCCCAAGGAUGACACACAAAUUCAGAAAAUAUUUCAGUUUUAA